UAUCAAAUUUAUUUCAAUAUCUAGUUUCAUUUUUAAAUUAAAGCUAUUGGACAAUUUUUUGCAAAUUAAAAUUCAUUAUUAGAGGUGAGGAAAACAUUAAUAAGCUAUUAAUUACUGAAAACAAAAUUAUCAACCAUGCAUUUAAAAAAGCCAUGUUAAAGAGUAAAAAGUUCCAAUUAUACUAUCUAACUGAAGGAAAUAUCCUUUACCUCUUUAUUUCUAAUUAUAACGUUCUCAUUUUGACACAAUUUACACCUUUUUCACCCAAUUAAUACAAUGCAAACAAAAUUUUUCCAAAUAUUAAGAGGAUAUUGUUUACCAUUUAUGACAUAUAAGAUAACUGUAACUCUUUAAAAGUUCCUUAAAAGAAAGUUGAAAUUUUAAUUUUCACUGUGAAUCUGUCUGAUCAAAAAGUAAAGGACAUAACCACCACAUGAAUUAAAACAAAGAAUGGAAUAAAAAACAAAAGUGGUAUCUAUAUAAUCAGCAAAUUAUCUGAUAAGACAUGUUAACUACUUCACAUUUCUACUUAGCAUAAGUGAGAAUGAACUGGUUCCAAGGUUUGGCAUUUUUACUCUUAAGCUUUAAAUCAUAGUGUUACUCUACUCAAGUCAUCUCUAAGAAAAUGGCAGUGUUCAUAAGUACAAAAAUGAUUAUAUCCAGUAGGUGGUAUUCUACAUAGUCAAGACAAUUCUUUAUAAAAUUAGAUUUUUAAAAAUGCAGACUAUCUGGUAAUUACCAGUAUCUCAAAAGCUAAAAUAAGAAAAAUACAGAUAAUAAAGAAGUACUCAUUGAAUAAUAUUAUUUUGCUUUGAGGAAACCAGAAAUGAUUCUAUUCCAAGAAAUAAGUAAUAAUGAUAAAGAGAUGUAAUUAAUACACC
rnacentral:lncRNA from 1 species